GAGAGUUCAGAUCCUAUAGGUUCUGGAGUCGGAGCCCACUGAUGCGCGUUUGAAAGUUUCAAUGAAAAUGUAUCAAGAUGAGCUUGCUGAAAUAUUUCAAAAGAAAAACGGAUCAUGGACAUGGAGAGAAGAAUCAAGCAGAGCUUCAGCAGAAUUCUGUACGUUUUGUGACACAAGCUACAUGGAGUCACUGCUGCAUCGUGAGCACAAGAUGGCUUAGUUUGGAGAUGGUGGUCAGUCAGAUUCUACGUCUCUAUAAUGCACUCAAGAGUUAUUUUGGAAGCAUCCAUGAGAAGCAAGCCAGGUGUGUCCGGCUGCGUGAAUCGUUCCAGGACCCAAUGACGGAGAUCCAUCUCUUGUUCUACCAGUUGACACUGAUAACUUUCACAAAUUUCAACCUGCUAUUCCAGCAGAAAGACCCUUGUGUC